CUGGAAACAGCUAACCACACACCAACCUUCAUUGCGUGUGAUGGUGUUUCUUCAAAAGCCCUAACAGAUGAAACCAGGCUUCAUCAGAAAAGAACGACAAAUCGAGAAUCCCGUUAUCGUCCAUAUCAGCUUGAAACCAACUACAAUACCCAACGCGGCAAGGAAAAUCAGCUUGUUGCAGCUCCUGAACCAACAAAAUCUUGUAUGGAUGCAUAUGUAACUUCUCUUUUACGAUUGUCUGACAUGGGCUGUAUGGUACUCCGGACAGUAAAGAUUUUUGACAAAG